AGUCGAGGGGCAGCACGGGUAGCAAUAUCUGGUGGCGACCGGCGCNNNNNUGCGUAACGCGUGAGCAACAUGCCCGUAUCAGGGGAAUAAUCCAGGGAAACUUGGUCUAAUACCCCAUAGUAAAUAUUAAAGGCAUCUUUAAUAUUUUAAAGCUUUGGUGGAUACGGAUUGGCUCGCGUGACAUUAGCUAGAUGGUAAGGUAACGGCUUACCAUGGCUACGAUGUCUAGGGGUUCUGAGAGGAAGAUCCCCCACACUGGAACUGAGACACGGUCCAGACUCCUACGGGAGGCAGCAGUGAGGAAUAUUGGACAAUGGAUGGAAAUCUGAUCCAGCCAUGCCGCGUGCAGGAAGACGGCCCUAUGGGUUGUAAACUGCUUUUAUAUGGGAGCAAUAAGACCUACGUGUAGGUUGAUGAGAGUACCAUAUGAAUAAGCACCGGCUAACUCCGUGCCAGCAGCCGCGGUAAUACGGAGGGUGCAAGCGUUAUCCGGAUUUAUUGGGUUUAAAGGGUGCGUGGGCGGUUUGAUAAGUCAGCGGUGAAAUAUUUCAGCUUAACUGGAAGGGUGCCGUUGAUACUGUCAGGCUUGAAUUUAGUUGCUGUGGGUGGAAUGUGUGGUGUAGCGGUGAAAUGCAUAGAUAUCACACAGAAUAUCGAUUGCGAAGGCAGCUCACAAAGCUAAUAUUGACGCUGAUGCACGAAAGUGUGGGGAUCAAACAGGAUUAGAUACCCUGGUAGUCCACACUGUAAACGAUGAUAACUCGCUGUCGGCGNUACAUAGUCG
rnacentral:rRNA from 1 species